rnacentral:lncRNA from 1 species
CUUAUUCUUUGUUAGCUGUUAUUGGGCUUUUAGUUUUUUUGUCAUCUGUUAUUGUGAUAAUGUAUUUGCUGUUAACUGUUAUUGAAAAUUGGAAUGUUAGCAUUUUUUUUGACAGUCAAUAUUCGGUAUAAAUUGAAGAUCAUUGGCCAUUGGGGUCUACCACUACUAAUAUGUUUGUCCCGUAUUCAGAGAAGGAUUCCAUUAACAUAUACCCAUCACAGAAGUAAGGUCCAGGACAAUUCAAGUAUAUCUUAUGAUUAUCCUUUGUAAUAAAUUCCAUUUUUUUUAUGAAUGUGUAUUUAGAAUUAUCUUAAUUUUUUGUAUGAGAAUAAUGUUCCUUGUUUUCCGUACGAACAUAUUAAAUUAAAACAAUUCUUAAUAUGACAAAAAGGAAACAUAUGGCCAGG